AUUCGGACUGCACAGUGGUGUGCAUUGCCGUGGAAAAUGAGCAGUUUUAAGAGAAGAGGACUUUCACCAAAGCUCUCUUCUCGACCGGGAACCCAGGGCCACGGGAUGUGGAGUCCUUUUGUACAGCAGAUGCAGGGGGGUGUGGGAGGGAAGCUGGUGCUGGCCUUCCAGCACCAUCCUGCGCUGGGUUGCUUCCAGACCCACUGCCUGCUUUACCCGUCCUUGGCUUAGAUCAUGGAUGGGACAGAGGAAGGGAUAUGACACAGAAAAGGACUGUCAGAUGACCACACAACUUCUAUUGUCAGUUCACCUGAUAUGUGGAUCCCAGGUGAGGGACAGAAGGGAUGGAAGACAGAGGAAAGAGAAAGCAAGCCUGUGUCUCUUCUCAUAUCUGGCAAUGUGUCUGGAAGAUGUAUAUGUCUUCUUCAUUGUUCUGUCCCUAUGGCCAUCUUCUCCUCAGGGUCUAAACUACUGCCGCAUGCUGUCCCCUUCCUGUGGCACCCACUUUACAAGUGAAGUCAACUUGCUCAUGGAAGAUGCUAUCUGCCUCAGGGCUUUGGUCCCUGGUGCAUGAACUGUCUGUGGUCCAAGGCAGCUGGACAGCUGAGGCUCCCAGAAGCACCUGUCACUCCGAAGGCCUAGCUCUCUCACUCCUUGGGGUAUGGUGACCCAAGCCAUGUUCCCCAGUGGCUCUUGGGUACCCGACCAGGCCAUGGCUGAGCUUGGCAAUACAUCUUCCCAUGGACUUCCUGGCCACACCUGGCUCGCUGUCCUCCAUUUAUGUCCCUGGCUUCACUUCUCUCAGAGCUGCUGUGCUCCAACCUUGUCUCUUGAGCUCCUGGAAAGCCAUGUAAUAUACUCUCUGUAUUAACUGCUUUCCAGGACUCCAUCUCCACUCUGCUCAGGCCCACCUAUCUACCUUCUCAGAGAGGAAGAAGAUGCCUGCUGGGUCACUGCUCCUCAAAGCAUCCUUCAUGUUUCUCUGGAGCCCAUUCUGAAGUGUGGGCUGUGGAGGCUGGCCCCUCUUCCCUCAAACGUAAGACUCUUGGUGCUGCUCCCCUACUGCAACACCUACCUCUGUACCCUCACCAACUUGUGCCGAUUUGCUUUAGCCAAACUUCCUGGCCAGAGGCAGAGAGAAGGUCAUUGCCUUCAUACCUCAUGGUCCUCUGUUCUCUGCCCAUGGUGACGUGAACUGAAGAUCCCAGAAAAGAAAGGCAUGUCUAAGUUAAAGUGUCUACAAGGCUCAUUGAUUAGAACUUUGUGAUUGUGGGGAGUUGGAAUGUUACAGAUCCAGAGCCAAAUUAUCUUGGGAUAUUCUUAUUCCCAUUGCUAGCUGUUCAUUACCUCUGUGUCUGACUUAACUUGUAACUAUGACAGGAAAUAUUUUGGGACAUAUUAACUCAACAUCUCACUAUCUAUGAGCCCUAGAGCCAAGAAUAUCAUUAGACAGCAUUUGAAACAUAGAUCAGAGAUUUCCCUGUUCUGCUGAAACCACCAACCUGGUGCUUCUACCAAUGCAUUCGGAACAAGCCUUAACUUAUGUCUCUUUUUAUCCUGUAACAGGUAUAAAAACUUCACAAAACUAUUUCCCCAUUAGAGCACAGCCUUUGUGGUACCCUGAAUCUGUGUUCUUGGGCCACAGUCACUCAUAUUUGGCUCCAGAAUAAACUUUCUUAUUUCCUCUGU
ensembl:lincRNA Gm807 predicted gene 807